rnacentral:rRNA from 1 species
UACGUAGGGGGCAAGCGUUGUCCGGAAUCAUUGGGCGUAAAGCGCGUGUAGGCGGCUCGAUAAGUCUGCUGUGAAAGUCCAGGGCUCAACCCUGGGAUGCCGGUGGAUACUGUCGAGCUUGAGUCCGGAAGAGGCGAGUGGAAUUCCUGGUGUAGCGGUGAAAUGCGCAGAUAUCAGGAGGAACACCUAAGGCGAAGGCAGCUCGCUGGGACGUGACUGACGCUGAGACGCGAAAGCGUGGGGAGCAAACAGG